GCGGAGAGGGGGAGCCGUGGUUCACUCCGCACUGACCUUGCCGCCGCCUGUUCCGGGUAAGAGUUAAGAUCUAGCAGUCGCGGCCGCUUCUGGUUCGCUUGGUGCAGGUCGGGAACGCGUCGCCGUCUGCCGGUGGGCGAGCUGCUUCCCGCCUUGCAUCAACUGAAUCGGAAGCGAGAGCGACGAUCUCCGUUUCGUCCUGGUUCUUCCCCCGCCGAUCUCGAUGACUGGAGCAUAGAGAGGAUUUGAAAUAGGUCUGUAGACGCUAAAUGAGGGUUCGCAGUCCUGGUAAGUAGUUGAUAAAAUCUUAUUUAUUUAUGUAUUAUGGAAUUAACACUAAAAUUUGAUGUAAAAAGGCUACGGCUUAUUCUUUUUCAUGAAUGGCUUGUUAUGUGAGGCAACAUCCACGCUUAUUUACACAUAAACAUAUUGUUCAGUUGUAAGAGGAUUUAGUGUUUAACCGUAUUUUUUCGCUGAUCUAAUAGACUAUUUGUAA